UAAUACGAAGGGGGCUAGCGUUGUUCGGAAUUACUGGGCGUAAAGCGCACGUAGGCGGAUCGAUAAGUAAGAGGUGAAAUCCCAGAGCUCAACUCUGGAACUGCCUUUUAAACUGUCGAUCUGGAGCAGAGUAGAGGUGAGUGGAAUUCCGAGUGUAGAGGUGAAAUUCGUAGAUAUUCGGAGGAACACCAGUGGCGAAGGCGGCUCACUGGACUCUUGCUGACGCUGAGGUGCGAAAGCGUGGGGAGCAAACAGG
rnacentral:rRNA from 1 species